GAGGUAGUGACAAGAAAUAACAAUACGGGGCMUUAAUGUCUUAGUAAUMUGGAAUGAUGGGAAUUUAAACCUCUUCCAGAGUAUCAAUUGGAGGGCAAGUCUGGUGCCAGCAGCCGCGGUAAUUCCAGCUCCAAUAGCGUAUAUUAAAAUUGUUGCAGUUAAAAAGCUCGUAGUUGAAUUUCUGCUGCAUUUCAUUUCUCUUUCUGAGUUUGUUUUUGCGGCUUAUUUCGGUUUGAUUUUUUCUUUCCGGAUGAUUACUUUGAGAAAAUUAGAGUGCUCAAAGCAGGCUUUUGCCUUGAAUAGUUUAGCAUGGAAUAAUAAAGUAGGACUUUGGUUCUAUUUUGUUGGUUUUAGGUACCAAAGUAAUGGUUAAUAGGAACAGUUGGGGGCAUUCGUAUUUAACUGUCAGAGGUGAAAUUCUUAG
rnacentral:rRNA from 1 species